rnacentral:misc_RNA from 1 species
GUAGGUGAACCUGCGGAAGGAUCAUUAACAAUGAUUAUUCUAUGUAUGUGAACUGUGGUGCUUUGGCACUUGAACGUGGCGAUUUCCGCAGAGGAUAUAGCCCACCUAGUGGAUGGUAACCUCUGGCAGGAGCGUCAUUUGUCUUAUUUAACUCUUUAACUAUAUUACUGAAAUCCAAUCUAUAGCCAAUAUAGAGAUAACUUUUAGCAACGGAUCUCUAGGCUCUC